rnacentral:rRNA from 1 species
UUUUUAUUUAAUUUAGUUAAUAUUAAAAAAUAAUUUAUUUAAAUUAAAUUUAAUUGGGGUGAUUAUAAAAUUAAAUAAACUUUUAUAAAUUUAAUAAAACUUGUAUAAAAGAUUAAAAUGAUCUAGUUUUACAGAUUAAAAGAAUAAGU